AAUAGAUACCCCGGUAGUCCACGCCGUAAACGAUGAGUGCUAAGUGUUAGGGGGUUUCCGCCCCUUAGUGCUGCAGCUAACGCAUUAAGCACUCCGCCUGGGGAGUACGGUCGCAAGACUGAAACUCAAAGGAAUUGACGGGGGCCCGCACAAGCGGUGGAGCAUGUGGUUUAAUUCGAAGCAACGCGAAGAACCUUACCAGGUCUUGACAUCCCAUUGACCACUAUGGAGACAUAGUUUUCCCUUCGGGGACAACGGUGACAGGUGGUGCAUGGUUGUCGUCAGCUCGUGUCGUGAGAUGUUGGGUUAAGUCCCGCAACGAGCGCAACCCUUGUUCUUAGUUGCCAUCAUUUAGUUGGGCACUCUAAGGAGACUGCCGGUGACAAACCGGAGGAAGGUGGGGAUGACGUCAAAUCAUCAUGCCCCUUAUGACCUGGGCUACACACGUGCUACAAUGGACGGUACAAACGGUUGCCAACCCGCGAGGGGGAGCUAAUCCGAUAAAACCGUUCUCAGUUCGGAUUGUAGGCUGCAACUCGCUACAUGAAGCC
rnacentral:rRNA from 1 species